rnacentral:rRNA from 1 species
GAUGAACGCUGGCGGCGUGCCUAAUACAUGCAAGUCGAGCGGACGGACGAGAAGCUUGCUUCUCUGAUGUUAGCGGCGGACGGGUGAGUAACACGUGGAUAACCUACCUAUAAGACUGGGAUAACUUCGGGAAACCGGAGCUAAUACCGGAUAAUAUUUUGAACCGCAUGGUUCAAAAGUGAAAGACGGUCUUGCUGUCACUUAUAGAUGGAUCCGCGCUGCAUUAGCUAGUUGGUAAGGUAACGGCUUACCAAGGCAACGAUGCAUAGCCGACCUGAGAGGGUGAUCGGCCACACUGGAACUGAGACACGGUCCAGACUCCUACGGGAGGCAGCAGUAGGGAAUCUUCCGCAAUGGGCGAAAGCCUGACGGAGCAACGCCGCGUGAGUGAUGAAGGUCUUCGGAUCGUAAAACUCUGUUAUUAGGGAAGAACAUAUGUGUAAGUAACUGCGCACAUCUUGACGGUACCUAAUCAGAAAGCCACGGCUAACUACGUG